CCUGUCACCUCACUUUCAUUUGAUGUAACAUGCUACAAAAAUGGAGGACACACACAAAUAUGUCUUAGAAAGAAAAGCAAAAUAUCCAAAUUGUUAUUCUGUACGCAAUAAAGGACAUCCCACUUCAUCUAAAUCUAAACAUAAAAAACAACUCAAGGAUGGCAGAGAGUGUACAAAAAGCUCAAAAUCUCUCCCAAAGGAUGGAGCCAGAGCUCAGCCAAGCUCACGAAGAGGACAUUCUCCAAGUAAAAGGAGGAGCAAAAGUCAACCCAGACAUAAGGAAGUUCGUACAAAGCCACAUCAAUCCAUUUCUAAGUGCCCUCCUUCCAAGGAUUUGAAAAGAAGUUUAGAAACUCAGAAAUCUCUUAUUAUGCAAAUGUCCAACAUGGAAUCCUCUAAAAAGUCUUCAUCUGACCAUCCCAAAAUGAUCUCUACUGCACUUUCCAGUCUCCACUAAUGACCUGUUACCAUCAUGUAUACUUUAAUUGUUUGUCAUUACUGUGAUCUGUUUGUUUUUAGCCAUACCCUAUCCUGAUUCCUUGAUGAAUUCCCACUACAUGCCACCAACUUAUUGGACUAGAUCUCGGAGCUCACAAUCCAUGGACGUUUCCUCCCCAAUAUCCGGACCCAACAUCUUCCAUCUUUCUCCAUCUAAUGGACAUCCAUUGUCAGAACUACAUUUUGAAGCUUUUAUGACUAGCCUGAAAGUUGGUGAACCCCACCCCCACCUUCCAGAAUCCAAUUUCAUCACCAAGAUGAGACACCAGAGCAGGAUGUUAGUUGGAGGACACCUUCAGGAUAAUGGACAGCAAGAGGAGGAAGCACUAUUUCAUCCAUAUUUCCCUGCUUUCUUCUCAGUUCAAACCCAGUUUUGGUGGUUCAUUUGAUAUCAGACAAUUAUCCUGAAAAGCCUGACCUCUGAUUUCUUUGCUAUUUUUUCUCACUCUGUUACAUCUAAUAAACCCUCAGCCUUUUCCCCAAUA